rnacentral:lncRNA from 1 species
CCGGUUCCCAUUGAGACCCCCCCCAUCCCCCCCCCAAUCUCAAUUUUCCGGUUCGGUCCCAUUGAGACCCCCCCCCCCCCCCCAAAUCCAUUUCCGGUUUCCUCGGUUCCAAUUAAGACACCACCCCAUUCCCACCCCACCCCCACCUCCCCAAUUUCCGGUUCCGGUUCAUCCCGCACCUCCUCGAUGGGUUCCCCAUCUUCCCUUCCGAGGUCCAAACCUUUCCUCUUCCUCUUCCGCCGCCUCCUCCAGGUCGGCCAGCAGCUCGUCCGCCAACGACAUGGCGGCCUGCCAAAACCAGUUAAACCCCCGUUAAAACCCCGUUAAACCCCCUUUAAACCCCCCCGGGCCUUCCCGUUAGAAGCACCAGCCGCCAUCUUACCUCCUCCUCCUUUGCGUCGCUGGAUAAACUACGUCCAUCUGUCCGGCCAGCGACGCGCUCUUAUGGCCCGUUCACUUCCUCCGUAUCCCGCGAACUUCCGUUUUCACACCCCGCCGUCGCCCUCCCCCCCAAAAUGACGUCACUUUCCGGCGCGAACGCGCUCUUAUGACGUCCCACUUGCCCACUUCAGCUCGAUGACUUCCUGUUUCCAUAAUCCCCUCCCCCAUUUACCCCUAUAGGCCCCAUUUAACCCCCCUCAGCCCCUAUUUAACCCCCAUUAGGCCCCAUUUAACCCCCCCUAGGCCCCAUUUACCCCCCCAGGCCCGUUAUCCUCCCCCGUUAGGGCCCCAUUUCCCACUUUUAAAGGGCCCCGUUUCCGCCCUCCCCCCCCCCGCACUUUCACUCCGGUUUUUACACGCCUACUUCCGGCUGCGCUUCUGAUUGCGUCAUCACCGGCGCGCCCUCGCCGGGGGGGUGUAACGUUUUCUUGUCUCGGACACCGGAAGAGGGCGGCGCGAAAGGUGACGUCAUCACCGGGGGUUAAUGGGGCCUAUGGGGUUAAUGGGGCCUAUGGGGGGGGGUAAAUGGGGCCUCAUGGGGGGGCGUAAAUGGGGCCUUAUCGGGGUAAAUGGGGCUUAAGGGGGGGGUUAAAUGGGCCUAUGGGAAGUAAAUGGGGGCCUAUGGGGGGCAAAUGGGGCCUAUGGGGGGAAAAUGGGGGCCUAUGGGGUGUUAAGAUGGGGCCUAUGGGGGUAAAUGGGGCCUAAGGGGGUAAUUGGGGCCUAUGGGGGUAAAUGGGGCCUAUGGGGUUUAACAAUGGGGCCUAUGGGGGUAAAUUGAGGCCUAUGGGGGUCCGUUAAAUGGGCCUAUGGGGGGUAAAUGGGGCCUAUGGGGGGGGGUAAAUGGGGCCCAUGGGGGUAAAUGGGGGCCUACUGGGGGGGGGUACAA